AGGUCGAGGUAUUGAGGUUUUUAUUUCUCUUUAUAGGGAAAGACGGUGCGAUCGGUGCAGCCCGCGAGCUGCGGUUUGUUUUUAGCGUUGCUAGGCGCCCGGCUAACGUGAGUAGCAUCGGGCUUAUGCUAGACGCUUCGCUGCAACUACCUCAGCCCCUUAAGGCAUUAAGCGGAUUCUGGUUUCAGCUGUGCCAGUUUGGCUCAGCGGUUUGAACGCCGUGUUAGCAUCGGCACAACUCCGGUUCGAAUCCACGCCUCACCUCUUUUCUCUCUUUUAGUUAGAUCGGCUCCUUCCCAGAGCGUUGUUGGUGACACAGCCGAUUAUUUACGCUUUAAAAGGCGUUUACCUUAUUCUGCGCGAUUUCUUCGGACAGUGUCUGAGGUUUCGCUUUCCUUAAACGCUCCUUAUAAGGCGUAGGCGCAGCGUCACUCUCAGCUACGGGAUAGCGAGUUGCCAGCAAGCCAGCGGCUCCGUUCGGGCUUUCCCGAAUUGUUUUCUGUUUUGCCAGUUUCCGUUUUUUAUUUUCAUUAUUAUCAUUUGUCUUGUAAAAAUUAUUAUUUAUUGUAAAUAAAUAUAAUUUUUCUCUGCA